UCCCUGAUAGUAUAGUGGUCAGUGCGCCUGUCUCAAAACCAGGAGGCCGAGGUUCGAUUCCUCGUCAGGGAG
rnacentral:tRNA from 1 species